GAUGAACGCUGGCGGCGUGCUUAACACAUGCAAGUCGAACGAGAAGUGAAGACGGAAACCUUCGGGCGGAAGGCUUUAUUUCGAGUGGCGGACGGGUGAGUAACGCGUGGGUAACCUGCCUCAUACAGGGGGAUAACAGUUGGAAACGACUGUUAAUAUCGCAUAAGACCACAGCACCGCAUGGUGCGGGGGUAAAAACUCCGGUGGUAUGAGAUGGACCCGCGUUCGAUUAGCCAGUUGGCGGGGUAACGGCCCACCAAAGCGACGAUCGAUAGCCGAUCUGAGAGGAUGACCGGCCACAUUGGGACUGAGACACGGCCCAAACUCCUACGGGAGGCAGCAGUGGGGAAUAUUGCACAAUGGGGGAAACCCUGAUGCAGCGACGCCGCGUGAGUGAAGAAGUAUUUCGGUAUGUAAAGCUCUAUCAGCAGGGAAGAAAAUGACGGUACCUGAGUAAGAAGCCCCGGCUAACUACGUG
rnacentral:rRNA from 1 species